UGGGGAAUUGUUCACAAUGGGCGACGAGCCUGACGACGCAACGUCGCGUGGAGGAUGAAGGUCUUCGGAUUGUAAACUCCUGUUGAUCGGGACGAAAAGCUUCAACCUAAUACGUUGAAGACUGACAGUACCGGUUGAGGAAGCCACGGCUAACUCUGUGC
rnacentral:rRNA from 1 species